rnacentral:rRNA from 1 species
GCUAAAACUAGCCCAAACAACUAUAAACUUAACUUACUCUUACCAAUAAAUCAAAACAUUUAGUUAAUAGUCUUAAAGUAUAGGAGAUAGAAAUUUGACUUGGCGCUAUAGAGAUAGUACCGCAAGGGAAAGAUGAAAGAAAUAUUAAAAGCACCACAUAGCAAAGAUUACUCCUUGUACCUUUUGCAUAAUGAGUCAGCCAGAACACCCUAGCAAAGAGAACUUAAGCUAGUCUCCCCGAAACCAGACGAGCUACCUGUGAACAAUCUGUCUAGGAUGAACUCAUCUAUGUUGCAAAAUAGUGAGAUGAUUUGCAGGUAGAGGUGAAAAGCCUAACGAGCCUGGUGAUAGCUGGUUACCCAGAAUAGAAUUUUAGUUCAACUUUAAACUUACCCGCAAACCUCCCUUAAAAUUUUAAUGUAAGUUUAAAAUAUAAUCUAAAAAGGUACAGCUUUUUAGAACUAGGAUACAGCCUUUUUUAGUGAGUAAGCAUAACUAUUAACCAUAGUUGGCCUAAAAGCAGCCAUCAAUUAAGAAAGCGUUCAAGCUCAACAAUCAAAAUAUCUUAAUACCAAAAAUAUGCAACCAACUCCUAACUGAAUACUGGGUUAAUCUAUUAUGAAAUAGAAGCAAUAAUGCUGACAUGAGUAACAAGAAAUAUUUCUCCUUGCAUAAGCUUAUAUCAGAACGGAUGACCACUGAUAGUUAACAACAAGAUAUGAAAAAUCUACCCAUAAACCUAAUAUCAAGUUAAUUGUUAAUCCAACACAGGUAUGCAACCAAGGAAAGAUUAAAAGAAGUAAAAGGAACUCGGCAAACAUAAGCCCCGCCUGUUUACCAAAAACAUCACCUCUAGCAUCUCUAGUAUUAGAGGCACUGCCUGCCCAGUGACAUUAGUUAAACGGCCGCGGUAUCCUGACCGUGCAAAGGUAGCAUAAUCACUUGUUCCCUAAAUAGGGACUCGUAUGAAUGGCCACACGAGGGCUUUACUGUCUCUUACUUCCAAUCCGUGAAAUUGACCUUCCCGUGAAGAGGCGGGGAUAUAAUAAUAAGACGAGAAGACCCUAUGGAGCUUUAAUUAACUGACCCAAAGAGAUUUCACCAAUACAACCGAUAGGAGCAACAAACCUCUACAUGGGCCAGCAAUUUAGGUUGGGGUGACCUCGGAGAAUAAAAAAACCUCCGAGUGAUUUUAAUCUAGACUAACUAGUCAAAAGUAUCACAUCACUUAUUGAUCCAAAAAACUUGAUCAACGGAACAAGUUACCCUAGGGAUAACAGCGCAAUCCUAUUUUAGAGUCCAUAUCGACAAUAGGGUUUACGACCUCGAUGUUGGAUCAGGACAUCCCGAUGGUGCAGCAGCUAUCAAAGGUUCGUUUGUUCAACGAUUAAAGUCCUACGUGAUCUGAGUUCAGACCGGAGCAAUCCAGGUCGGUUUCUAUCUAUUAAAUUAUUUCUCCCAGUACGAAAGGACAAGAGAAAUAGGGCCCACCUUAUCAAGGCGCCCUCAACUGCAAUAGAUGAUUUAAUCUCAAUCUAGACAGUUUACUCAAUCUUAAUACCCAUAGACACUAUGGGCUC